AACUAGCUGCCAUUUUUUGAGUAUUUCCUAUCUGCGUACCAUACCCUUCUUCUAUUUCUUUCCCCAUUAAUAAAUUGAGGCAGGGAGGUUGAGCGACAUCUCUAAAUGUUGCCCAGCAGCAAAGGGGUCAAGAAGGCAUUUGAACCCAGGUCUCCUUGACCCCAAAGCCCAUACCUACUGUCUUGUGUGCUUUUCCUUACCCUAGCUUCUCUUAGCCCCAACUCCAAAAUAGCUCCUAAGCCUGCCCACUUCUCCCCAUAUCUUCAGCUCACAGCCCCCAUUAUCACUCACCAGGACCAGUGCAGCCCACCCCUGGUCCCUAGCCCCUGCCAUCAUGCUCCUUGCCUCCACUGUUCCCACAGGUGCAGGAGGGCACCUGUGGACACUUGAGUUCAUGCUGCUUCUUUGAUCAAGAACCCUCCAUGGUUCCCACCUUACUCAGUGCAAGCCGAAGUCCUCACUACAGCCCACAAGGCCCUGCCCAAUCUGUGUCAUCACUUCCCUCUUGCUGACCCAUUCAGCCACCCUGGCCCCAGGGCUUGUGCCUGAAAUGCUCUCCACCUGGCUCUUUGCAAGGUGGAACUGACCUGAUUGACUAUAUGUGGAAUGUGAAAGAGGAGCCAAAGAAACAGGAGGAAGCAGGGCUGCAGGGGAGCAAGCUCAGGCAGAAUCCUGCAGAGGGCAUCUAAUCCUGCAGGGAGCUCUGGAGGGAAAGAAGAAGGAAGGUCAUCAGCUGAGAGUGGAGCGUGAGGAGAUGUUGGAAGCUGUGAGAAGAAAGGAGAGCAUCACGGGCUACAAAAAAUUACCUGAGGGCCGCAUGCAGCCCGUGGGCCACCAGUUUGACAACCCUGCUCUACAAGAACGUCAGUGCCAACGAUGGCUCACGAAAUUCCAUGCUGAUGAUUUUGAUCUCAACGA